rnacentral:rRNA from 1 species
GAUGAACGCUGGCGGCGUGCCUAACACAUGCAAGUCGAACGGAGCUGCUUUGAUGAAGUUUUCGGAUGGAUUUAAAACAGCUUAGUGGCGGACGGGUGAGUAACGCGUGGGUAACCUGCCUCACACUGGGGGAUAACAGUUAGAAAUAGCUGCUAAUAUCGCAUAAGCGCACAGUUCCGCAUGGAACAGUGUGAAAAACUCCGGUGGUGUGAGAUGGACCCGCGUCUGAUUAGCCAGUUGGCGGGGUAACGGCCCACCAAAGCGACGAUCAGUAGCCGGCCUGAGAGGGUGAACGGCCACAUUGGGACUGAGACACGGCCCAAACUCCUACGGGAGGCAGCAGUGGGGAAUAUUGCACAAUGGGGGAAACCCUGAUGCAGCGACGCCGCGUGAGUGAAGAAGUAUUUCGGUAUGUAAAGCUCUAUCAGCAGGGAAGAAAGUGACGGUACCUGAAUAAGAAGCCCCGGCUAACU